rnacentral:rRNA from 1 species
UCAGGAUGAACGCUGGCGGCGUGCUUAACACAUGCAAGUCGAACGGGGUACCCUUGACAGAGGCUUCGGCCAAUUGAUAGGAAUACCUAGUGGCGGACGGGUGAGUAACGUGUGAGGAACCUGCCUUGGAGUGGGGAAUAACAGUUAGAAAUAGCUGCUAAUACCGCAUAAUGCAACUAAGUCGCAUGGCUUUGGUUGCCAAAGAUUUAUCGCUCUAAGAUGGCCUCGCGUCUGAUUAGAUAGUUGGCGGGGUAACGGCCCACCAAGUCGACGAUCAGUAGCCGGACUGAGAGGUUGGCCGGCCACAUUGGGACUGAGACACGGCCCAGACUCCUACGGGAGGCAGCAGUGGGGAAUAUUGGGCAAUGGGCGCAAGCCUGACCCAGCAACGCCGCGUGAAGGAAGAAGGCCCUCGGGUUGUAAACUUCUUUUAUUCGGGACGAAACAAAUGACGGUACCGAAUGAAUAAGCCACGGCUAACUACGUGCCAGCAGCCGCGGUAAUACGUAGGUGGCAAGCGUUAUCCGGAUUUACUGGGUGUAAAGGGCGUGUAGGCGGGAGAGCAAGUCAGACGUGAAAUUCCAGGGCUCAACCCUGGAACUGCGUUUGAAACUG